GCUAGGAUAGUGAUGGCGAAGGUUAACAGCUAUGGAAAAUUCAUUGGUAUGGAAGAAACAACGACAUGCCUGACAUUGACGCACAGCUGCAGCACACCAGUAAUCUUGAGCUUGCAGUUUUCAGAGGAGGACUGUGAGCAGCGCGUACAGAAGCCUCACUGACAUCGCUACGGCAUUCCGUCUGGUUCUGAAUGGCUGAUGUUCGCUCCAGAGAAUACCUACGCAUACACUUCCCAGCUACUGAUGCAUGAAUAAGACACUUAGUCACAGGGUUUGCUUCGAGAGGAUGCAUCACCUGAGGGCUGCCUUGGCACAGAGGAACUUGCUCCGUCACCGUAACAUGUCUUCAUCAGUCAGGACACAGUCUGCGUCACAGAGAGCUGGCCCCACACAUGAUACUGAAACCUCUCAUGCACUCCAAGUUCUUUUUUUUAUGUAUCUAGGACGACCCUUUAGCUGUCCCUUUGCUUUAAUCUGAUAUUUCAAAGAGCUGAUCAGACAUGUCCUCAUCAUCAUCAUCUCAUGCAUAAACCAACUCAAGAAUGCUGAAUCUUUUUCAUCACCUCAGAGAUUUUAAAAGCAGAAAUGUUGGAACUCAACAUUAGUCAGGCUUAUUAAGUAAAUUCAGCUGUUUUAUAUAACUGCGUUACGUGUAUGGAUUCUGAUUAGAUUUUUACUGUGGUGAUAACAACUGUAGCCCCUGUUUUGUCUUUAAAUAUGCUGUUUUGUGAACAGAUACAACAUGCUACAACAUACUUGUGACCCUUAAAUGCAACUUUUUCUGAAUGAGCCUUGGAGACUGUUUUUUUUCCUUUUUUUUAACCUUUCUUACAUCCAAAUCAUAGGGUUUUCAACAUUUUGUCUCCGCACUGAACACAUUUAACCAAAUUACACCCUAAAUCGCAGGGUGGCCUCCUGUACAUACAUUGUCAGUAGAAACUAUGUUAACUGUAAUAGAGAAGAUACAGUUUUAAACUUGCUAGCUGUAAAUAAGGACUUUUUGGGAUGUUUAAGAAAUAGAGGACAAGAGUAGUAAUAUGCAAAUAAUAAAAAAAGUAUAUUUUUGUCAAAUAUUUAUGACUGGAGAAAGAAGGGCUCUUUGUAUUUUUGUGGCAUUCUUUACAGUAGGAUUUCUUGGUGUAAAAUAAUCUCAAUAUAAAAAUAUUUGAUGUAAAA